rnacentral:rRNA from 2 species
CUGAUGCGUUGUUGGGUAGGGGAGCGUUCUGUAAGCCUGUGAAGGUGGCCUGUGAGGGUUGCUGGAGGUAUCAGAAGUGCGAAUGCUGACAUAAGUAACGAUAAAGCGGGUGAAAAGCCCGCUCGCCGGAAGACCAAGGGUUCCUGUCCAACGUUAAUCGGGGCAGGGUGAGUCGACCCCUAAGGCGAGGCCGAAAGGCGUAGUCGAUGGGAAACGGGUUAAUAUUCCCGUACUUGGUGUUACUGCGAAGGGGGGACGGAGAAGGCUAUGUUGGCCGGGCGACGGUUGUCCCGGUUUAAGCGUGUAGGUGUGUGUUCCAGGUAAAUCCGGUUCACUUUAACACUGAGGCGUGAUGACGAGGCACUACGGUGCUGAAGCAACAAAUGCCCUGCUUCCAGGAAAAGCCUCUAAGCAUCAGGUAACAUCAAAUCGUACCCCAAACCGACACAGGUGGUCAGGUAGAGAAUACCAAGGCGCUUGAGAGAACUCGGGUGAAGGAACUAGGCAAAAUGGUGCCGUAACUUCGGGAGAAGGCACGCUGACACGUAGGUGAAGUGAUUUACUCAUGGAGCUGAAGUCAGUCGAAGAUACCAGCUGGCUGCAACUGUUUAUUAAAAACACAGCACUGUGCAAACACGAAAGUGGACGUAUACGGUGUGACGCCUGCCCGGUGCCGGAAGGUUAAUUGAUGGGGUCAGCGCAAGCGAAGCUCCUGAUCGAAGCCCCGGUAAACGGCGGCCGUAACUAUAACGGUCCUAAGGUAGCGAAAUUCCUUGUCGGGUAAGUUCCGACCUGCACGAAUGGCGUAAUGAUGGCCAGGCUGUCUCCACCCGAGACUCAGUGAAAUUGAACUCGCUGUGAAGAUGCAGUGUACCCGCGGCAAGACGGAAAGACCCCGUGAACCUUUACUAUAGCUUGACACUGAACAUUGAGCCUUGAUGUGUAGGAUAGGUGGGAGGCUUUGAAGUGUGGACGCCAGUCUGCAUGGAGCCGGCCUUGAAAUACCACCCUUUAAUGUUUGAUGUUCUAACGUGGACCCGUGAUCCGGGUUGCGGACAGUGUCUGGUGGGUAGUUUGACUGGGGCGGUCUCCUCCUAAAGAGUAACGGAGGAGCACGAAGGUUGGCUAAUCCUGGUCGGACAUCAGGAGGUUAGUGCAAUGGCAUAAGCCAGCUUGACUGCGAGCGUGACGGCGCGAGCAGGUGCGAAAGCAGGUCAUAGUGAUCCGGUGGUUCUGAAUGGAAGGGCCAUCGCUCAACGGAUAAAAGGUACUCCGGGGAUAACAGGCUGAUACCGCCCAAGAGUUCAUAUCGACGGCGGUGUUUGGCACCUCGAUGUCGGCUCAUCACAUCCUGGGGCUGAAGUAGGUCCCAAGGGUAUGGCUGUUCGCCAUUUAAAGUGGUACGCGAGCUGGGUUUAGAACGUCGUGAGACAGUUCGGUCCCUAUCUGCCGUGGGCGCUGGAGAACUGAGGGGGGCUGCUCCUAGUACGAGAGGACCGGAGUGGACGCAUCACUGGUGUUCGGGUUGUCAUGCCAAUGGCACUGCCCGGUAGCUAAAUGCGGAAGAGAUAAGUGCUGAAAGCAUCUAAGCACGAAACUUGCCCCGAGAUGAGUUCUCCCUGAGACUUUAGGUCUCCUGAAGGAACGUUGAAGACGACGACGUUGAUAGGCCGGGUGUGUAAGCGCAGCGAUGCGUUGAGCUAACCGGUACUAAUGAACCGUGAGGCUUAACCUUACA